rnacentral:lncRNA from 1 species
AAGUUCUGAUAAGAUUGGCACGUGAAAGUGUCUUAAUCAUACCAACACACACUAUGGUGAAUCGCUUUUCCAUUAGUUUCUAGAGCAAUUAUUAUCCCCUUUCAUCUUGGGGGCAACUCUAUGCCUUCCCAGCUUUCUUUGCCCAGACAAUUUCUCUUUACUUGGCUCAGUCUCUUCGAAGAUGCUCUAGGUAGAGGUUCGAAGAGUUGCGGCGAGUAACUGAACUUCAGGAAAGAAGCUCGACUAAAUCUUAUUGAGUAAAUGCUCCCUGAAAUCUUUCUGGAAGGGGAUUCCCUUAUCGACGCUUCUUUCUCCUGUAAAGUCGAACCUAGUUAGGAGUUAGUCUUUCCCAA